GCGCGAGUGGUGGAAUUGGCAGACACGCAGGAUUUAGGUUCCUGUGCCUUCGGGCGUGGGGGUUCAAGUCCCCCCUUGCGCA
rnacentral:tRNA from 1 species